AUUCUUUUAUUCUUCAUGGAUUCUUCACAUGCAGGGAAGACCAACUGACCAUGAGGACUGCAAACACUGCAAGUUCAGUGUGAAAAGCUGUGUGUUGGUGCCAUCUGGUGGGCCUAAGGCCACCCCCACGCCAAAGAGGCAAAGCUCCUCCAGCCAGGGUGUGACCCCACCUAAUGCCGUCCUGGCUCGUAGUAUAGGGACCUUCCAUCAGGAAACAAAGCUGAAGUUACAGCAGAUAAAAAAGAAAAGACAGCCUACCUGUGAUAUGCUUCCUCGGUAGUUAGGCUUGCUGAAGCGAACAAGCAACAUGUGCCAGGGAGAGUCGCUGGUCCAGAAUGAGGGGAUGAGCAAGGUGAUUAUCCAAAUGCUUAGUCACACCUGUGUGAGAGGAUUUCUGCCAUCCCUUUAAGAAGCAUAGUUCACGCUGACAGGCUCAUGUCCUCAAUAAGUGCUCGAAGCAUCAGGAGGCACACACAUUACUUCGUUACAGGGCACCUAGCUCUGCCUGGGGCAGCUCUGAGAGUGGGAGACAGGAGGAGCACAGCUUCUUUCUUAGGCUCUAUUCCAGGCCUUAGGCCAGGUUCCAGGCUUUUCUGAAUCAAGGAAACCUAUUCAAGAUGCAUUGUCUAAAUCAGUGUGUGCAUAAGUUAGGCAGGUAGGUGGUCAGAAAGUCUGCUUUCUGGCCCAGUUUGUCUGCUGGGGUGAGGAGGAAGGAGCCAACAGAAAGAUAAAAUUGAAGUCAGCAGUGGCAGCAAUGGGUCAGUUAUCAAAAGUUACACAGCUAACGUAAAGCCGUUCUCAGAUGCUGCUGCUUCUGUUUCCUCUGGGUGCUUGGCACCAUCAGAUAUGUUCAAGCCUUUACAACCAGGAAGGAGGAGAUGGAUGCAGAGGCUGAGGAUGGGAGGAUGGUGUUGGAAGAAAUCGGCUUUGCCUUUAUUUCUACCUGGACCUGAAGUCACUUGAAGCAAAAUGCAGAACAUGGAAUUGAAUGCAGUCAAAUGGAAGUAUUUUGGCACAACAACCAAUUCAUAUGACAAUACAAGCUGAUCAAGGAACAGAAGCAUCAGAAAAUGUAGAGUUACAGGUAUCAUCUUGGCAUAAGGGGAUAGUACUCUCUUUUUACCUAAAUUUACUACUUCUUCCUAUGAAGAGAGUGUAAAAUCAGAGCAUCUCAGCAGCAUUGCCAUGUAGAAAAAGAUCUGGAGAAGUGAAACUGAUCUUCUAUAUAUAAAGUUAUAACACCAAAAGAGGUUAUAAAUAACAAAGCUGUCUUUGUCAGCUGAGUAGAGAACUGAUGGAUUAAAGUGCAGCUUCACAUAUUAGUGAGGGCAGAACUGUAAGUAUCUUCAUCUAAUAAAAAAAAAAAAAAAAAAAAAAAAAAAA